UUUUGAAACGUGCAGAGGCAGACAUAGUCGCUGGGGGAUCGCCCCUAUCUCUCGCCCACCGUGAGGUACAGUCGGUCUGAAAAAAUUGGUACAAGCAGGUUCAAGUGAUCGAAAACAUUAUUUCUCUUUCCAAUUACAUCUCGCGAUCGGCAAGAAGCUCACGAUCGAUCAAGGCAACACAGUGGUCACGCCUGACAAUGGAAUUUUGACAACCGAAGUUCCAAUCAAGAGAGUUCAACCGAUAACUUACUUCAAAGGUUUCGAUACGGGCACCCUUUACGAGAACAAAAAUGUUACAGUACACCGGUAAGAUAACCGAUGUCAAGACCCCUGUAUACGAGUUCGGCUGGGAAGCAGAGUUCGAUGUUUGCGAGGAUCUCGACGACGGUACUUGGGAAGACGCAACGGGGCAAAUAAUACGGAAAACAUGGUUCCCUGAUGGUGCUUGUCCAGUCAAAGCGGGUAACUAUACGAUAUCAAAUCCAACUGGGCCAAUAGAAGUGAAUCUACGAGAGAAAGUGGUGCAGUCAAUCUAUGCCAUAGAAGUGCAGGUUGGGCAUUCAGCAUCCGAGAUUGUUUUUUCGACGAUGUUCGCUUUUACAACGUAGUUUGAGCUACGGAUUGAAAUAAAUGAAAUAAAAAUAAACUCACCAAAUAUUUCAGUUUA
rnacentral:misc_RNA from 1 species